GUACUCACUUCUGCAGCACAUAUACUAAAAUUGGAAUGAUACAGAGGAGAUUAACAUGGGCCCUGAACAAGGGAGAAAAAAAGAAGAAAAGGUUCCCUUUUAG